GGAGCCUCACGGUCCCGGAAACUUUCCCCGGGUGUCGCCGUCGCAGCGCACGCCCGGGAGCGCGGAGCGGGGCUCGCCCACCUUUGCCGCGGCGGCGGAGGGGAGCCUGGAGAAGGGGGCGCCCGGCCGCCCGCAGCGCAGGAGGCUGGAGCUCCGGCCCCGCGAGCGGUGCCAUGGGGGAGGCGGCCAGCCCCGCGCCCUCGCCCGCGCUCUGGGACUGGGACUACCUGGACCGCUGCUUCGCCCGCCACCGCGUCUGCAUCUCCUUUGGCCUGUGGAUCUGCUCCUCCUCCUGCUGGAUCGCCGCCCACGCGCUGCUUCUCUACCUGAGAUGCAGAAAGAAACCCAGGCAGGGCCAGUCGGCACUGUGCGCUGCCUGCUGCCUCCUGACCAGCCUGUGUGACACCGUUGGAGCAAUUCUGGCUAGACAGCUCACAAUCCAGGUUUUCAGUGGUGCCUACCUAGCAACUAUCGACUUAGCCAACUUCAUGUUCAUUCUCUUCCCAGUCUGCAGAUCCAAAUUCAAGUCCCAUUCCGGUUGCCGAACCAGAGAGAGGAAGAGGAGGCGGCGACUCAGAGCUGGCAUAUUUGCCCUGGCUCUACCGCUGAGCCUGGGCCCAAGCUGGGCUCUCUGGGCUGCUGUUCCGAAGGCUCCGGCCCUGGUCCGGGGGCCCCAGCGGAGGCUGCUGGGAAGCCUGCUGCAGGAAAAUACGGAAGUCUUCGGCUACCUGCUGGGUGGCAUUGCUGCCUUGGGCGCCUGGGCCUCCAGGAUACCCCCACUCUCCAGAAUCUGCCGGGGGAAGUCAUUCUCCUACAUCCACCUGUGGGCGCGGCUUCUGUCAGCCCUGGCGGGCCUCCUCUAUGCCUCAGCCAUUGUGGCCCAUGAUCGGCAGCCUGAGUACCUGCUUCGGGCCACGCCCUGGUUCCUGACCUCCCUCGGCCGUGCUGCUCUGGACCUCGCUAUCAUCUUCCUGUCGUGUGUGAUGAAGAGCAAAAUGAGACAAACCCUAGGAUUCUCCACAGAAGCCAGAGAGAGCCCCGACACUCAGGCCCUUCUGACCUGUGCAGAGGAAGAGGGAGAGAACCAGGAGACCAGGACCAAGGACAAGAAUUCAGAUUGGGUGCCACUCACCACCCUGUCACACUGCAAGUCAUUGAAGACAAUGGCAGCAAUCAGUCACUACAUGGAGCUGACCAUCGAACCUGUGCAACAGGCAGGCUAUGGUGCCAUGAGACUGCCUGGCGAUGGACAGACCAGCACAGGAGACACGUCCCUGCAGGAGCCCCCCUCGUACCCACCCGUCCAGGUCAUCCGGGCCCGAGUGUCUUCCAGCAGCUCCUCUGAGGUGUCCUCCAUCAACUCGGACCUGGAGCAGAAGUAUUGGGAGGCCCUAAACUCGGAGCAGUGGGACCCUGAAGAUGUCAACUUUGAAAGGAACAACGACAGCAUGGAGAUCUUCAGAUCCCAGGUGCAGAGGGGCUCUUUGAGGACAGUAGACUUGACCUCUGAUGAUUAGCGCCUUCAGAAAUACAGUUCAUCAGCUCAAAACCCAAGAUCAGGCAAUCAGUAACUGAGCAAAGAUCAACCUACAGUGAUACCCAUGGCAGGACUUUAAGCUGCUGCAGAAGCUGCCCAGGGAAGUGAGGACCUGGAGCUAAGCUUGGCUGGUCUACAUGGCUCAGAAUAGAACUAGACUCUGGGUCCUAUGGACAGACCUGGAUAUGCCAUUCGUUCUCAAGGUUAGAAGUUCAAAGAUGGCUCCUGCUUUGUAAAGAUGAGCCUUCCUCCAAAACACAAUGGACCCUCUUUUCCUGUCUUUCCUUUCCUUCUAUUCCCAUGAAAUGUAAUCAUAAACUGAGUAUCUGCUGGAUGCCAGGAAUGAGCUCACCUAACAAACAGCUCAUGUGUUUGGACCUCAGCAAAGCCCGUCCUGCAAGCCCUGGUUUCUGCCCUCCAGUAUCUGCUGGAAGUUAUCUAUAGGACUGCUUGGUCAACUAAGUGUCUGUGAGAUCAGUGGUAUUGCAAGCACAAGCAAAGCCAGUUGCUCUAAACAAGAGGACUUCCUGCAGCCUGGCAACGUGUGUGGAGGCAGUGUUUGCAGUUAAGGCCCAUGCCCUGGCAGAGGAGGCUCCGCUUUGAAGGAACCCAAGGUAUAUUGCAAUGCCGAGGAAGAGCUCUUCAAGAAGUUUACACAAGCCUCUCCUGGUAUUCAAGAGUCAUCAUGUGAGAGGGACGAUCUUCAAGAAGUUCAAGAACGAUGCUAGAAAAAAUAACUUAGAACAUCUAAUCUGCUUUUUCUUUAUACAAAAACCCUGAAAGCCAAAUAAGCCAGGGGGAGGUGGGAAGCAUUGAGGACUGCUCCUUCCAAGCUGGGCAAGUCAUUAACCAGCCUUAACUUCAACAACCUCCGUUGAUCUGUCGCCUGGAGAACUCAGCACGCCCUCCCAGUUCCCUAGGCCAUUUCCCAUCAGCGGCCGGUACUGCCUGGGAGGUUCAGCCUCCUCUCUAGUCCUCUGAUGGUCUGCAGCUACGAUGGCCGAGGGGUCUGGUCUUUCUCCUGCACCGGCUCCCUCUUCAGUCCCCAGAGAGAUCGUCCACGACCAACUGAGGGCCGGUCGGUGGACUCCUCAAAGGCGGGGUAAGGGCCCACUGUCCGGACGGGUCGGAACUGGACCAGGGCUCCCCGGACCUACCUCCUGGGAAGUACUGCCCCGGUACUUCCGCGAAGAGGGCGGGGGCGGGGAGAAGCACGAGGCUCUGCGCUUGCGCACUCCGCAGCCACCUCCCCACCCGACGGGGAGCGCGAACCCCGCCCCCGCGGUGUCUGCAGCACGUGGGCUCCUUCUUGCGCAGCCGCGGCCGGGGAGGCUGCUAGGGGUGCUGGUUGCCACUUUUCCGGCUGAGUUUUUAAGGUUAGUUACACAGUUAUUUUAUGGUUCCUAUCGUUUGGGGACCAACUCCCAGCCUUAGCCUGUAGUGUAAACCAUUCUUUAAGUACAUUAAAAUUUCUC